AGCCAGUCAUUUUGCUGUACGGAAUGACGCAAGGAGGCAGGAAGUGGAAUUGCCUGGAGAUAGAGUUGUAUAUCUGAGUCUGCAACAAUGUGGCCAGUGAUCUUCACUGCCAUGCGCACCUAUGCACCCUAUGUGACCUUCCCAGUGGCCUUUGUGGUGGGAGCUGUUGGAUACCACCUUGAAUGGUUUAUCAGGGGCACUCCUAAUGCCCCAGGAGAAGAGCGGGGUAUUGCAGAACUACGAGAGGAUAGAAAAUUAGAGGAACUGGCAGGUCGAGAUGGCACACAGGUCCUCAGCCUGAAGGACAAGUUGGAAUUCUCCCCAAGGGCAGUACUGGAGAAAAACCGACCGGAGAAGAGUUAAGUUUUAACAAGUGUUGUGAAGUUCUACAAGAUCCCAUGUGAUGAUGUGCAACUUGGCCUACUCAAACCAACGUUGGUCUCACCUUGUCUUCCCAAGUUCCCAGAGAUGGGAACUUGGGAAGCGUAAGAUCAAACUGAAUUUGUGGGAUUUCAUGUCCAAGCAUAUACCACAUCAUUCUGCCGCCCUAAUUACAUGGAGUCUUUUUGUAUUGUAAUAUUCACCACACCAGCUAGUGGAACUUGACUACUGAGAGAAUGUUUAAAACGUUCAUUCUUUGAGACUUCUCAAUAUGCAUCUUGUGCCCCUAGGCACAGAGACACAUGACUGCAUUGCCCAGGCCCCAACUUGGAAAGCUUUGAUAAGAUUUUCAUUUGUGCUUCAUGACUGAUGCUCAUGAGACUGAAGCUGAAAGAAAGUUCCCGAAAUGCAGCGCAUCCCAAACCAAUAUUUCCUUUUUACAGCUUAUAUUUGAAUUCCUUUUCAAUUAGUUACAUAAAUAUAUAUAUAUAUAUAUAUAUAUUGAUAACGAUUACUUCAAGUUUCAAGUGCUUAACUACAUAUUUUUUUAUUCUAAAUGUGAAAUAAAUGAAAAGUUUAUAAUCAGUCUGUUCAGUUCAUUAUUUUUCCAGCUGGAGUCGCCAAUCCACACACACCAGUAAAAGAGUGCGUACGCACAGUCAAGAGUGUCCGGACGGUGCGCACAUAUUUAUGCCAAAUUUUAUUUUUUAUAAAUCAUGAUGUGUUCAUGGGAAAUUGGUUACACACUGUUCAAUGCCCAUUUUGUGCAUACGCAAUGUUUAUACAUCAGGCCCCUGCUGUAUUUGUAUGAGUACUGAAGGGGCAGUGGUGGCUCAGCGGUUAAGGCUCUGGGUUACUGAUCAGAAGGUUGGGGGUUCAAGCCCCAGCACUGCCAAAAUGUCACUGUUGGGCCCUUGAGCAAGGCCCUUGACCCUAUCUGCUCCAGGGGUGCUGUAUCAUGGCUGACCCUACACUCUGACCCCAGUUUAGCUGGGAUAUGUGGAGAAAAAAAAGAAUUUCACUGUAUAUGUAUGUGCAAAUGUGUGAUAAAUAAAUGUAAUUAAUUAAUGUCCAUCCAGUAGGUUAGUGAAAAAGGAUGUGCUGACUGGAUUGUU